CCUACGGGAGGCAGCAGUGGGGAAUAUUGGACAAUGGGGGAAACCCUGAUCCAGCAAUGCCGCGUGGGUGAUGAAGGCCUUCGGGUUGUAAAGCCCUUUUGGCGGGGACGAUGAUGACGGUACCCGCAGAAUAAGCCCCGGCUAACUUCGUGCCAGCAGCCGCGGUAAU
rnacentral:rRNA from 1 species